rnacentral:rRNA from 1 species
AACGAACGCUGGCGGCAGGCCUAACACAUGCAAGUCGAGCGAAGCCUUCGGGCUUAGCGGCGGACGGGUGAGUAACGCGUGGGAACGUGCCCUUUGCUACGGAAUAGCCCCGGGAAACUGGGAGUAAUACCGUAUGUGCCCUUCGGGGGAAAGAUUUAUCGGCAAAGGAUCGGCCCGCGUUGGAUUAGGUAGUUGGUGGGGGAAUGGCCUACCAAGCCGACGAUCCAUAGCUGGUUUGAGAGGAUGAUCAGCCACACUGGGACUGAAACACGGCCCAGACUCCUACGGGAGGCAGCAGUGGGGAGUCUUAGACAAUGGGGGAAACCCUGAUCUAGCCAUGCCGCGGGAUCGAUGAAGGCCUUAGGGUUGUAAAGAUCUUUCAGUGGGGAAGAUAAUGACUGUACCCACAGAAGAAGCCCCGGCUAACUCCGUGCCAGCCGCCGCCGCAGUAA